UUCCUCUCUCUGCCGGAAGCGGCGGCAGGGUCGGGAGUUGCCAAGAUGGCGGCGGCCGCAGGUAACGGUGUGUGGGUAGGCCGCGGCGAGGCGUAGAGUCGGCCUUGUCGCCAUGCCAAAGUACUACGAGGAGAAGGAGGAGGACGGGCGGGCCUGCGGCGGGGUGAGGGAGGAUCUGCGGCAGUGCCUGCUGGAGAGCGCCUGUGUCCUGCAGGAAAACAAAAGCCCUAAGCAAUGCUUGAGGGAAGGACACUGUAGGAGUUUGCAAGUGACAUUUUUUGCAUGCAAAAGAUCAAUGUUGGAUACCAGGGCAAGAUUCAGAGGAAGGAAGGGAUACUGAAGUCCUUGUGAAGACACCUGGCCAUGGGAAAUCAGGAUUCAUCAGCACUUUAAGCAAAACAGAGACUAAAGCAAGCUGAUUCUAUCUGCUGCAUCCUUUCUUGCAACAUUUUUGGGGAAGGUUACAAGAUAUGGAACUGGGAGUUCACUUGACUGCUAUCCCAGAGGAUACCUCAGGAUACAGCUGUUUCCAGAGGUGAUGAGUUGGACGCGAUUGUGAAAUGUAUGUACAAGCUGCUUCCUCCCCAGGGGGUCUGUUACCCAAUAAACCUGCACUAAUGGGUAGGAGUGGCAUGUUUUUGCAGUGCCACAUAUACAAGGAUGGAAUCUCUUUCUUCUUGCUCUAAGUUCUUUUUAAUAUGAUGGUUCACGUACAUGUUUUGGUGCAAUCUGGUUGUGUUGAACAACUAGAUUAAAAUUUGGUUACUCUAAGCUAAAAGACAUCUGAUUUUUCUUUCAGUCUUCUCAUUGUAUUGUCACAAGUACAAGAGAACUAUAGGAUUAUUGUAGUCAAUGGCUUGAAAGCCGUGUGCCAGGAUGUAGCUGAUUAUGUAUCUUUGGAUGAGGGAGGACAGGAUUCCUUAGGCCAACAGUUAAGGAGACCAUGGCUGCUGUUACUAUGUUCUAGAGGUAUUUACAACAGUAUUUAAGUUCCUCUGAGAUGACCCUGGAUGAUCUUUCAGUGUUAUUUUCCAAGCAAAUGCAUAAAUACUAGUCCCAACAUAUCAUCAUCCCUUAAUGGUACAUCUGGACUUCAUUGUGUUUAUAGGAAGUUGUGCUCCAUGAAUUUACUUUGUCCUUUAUGAGCAUUUUUCUUGUUUUUACUUUUUCACUUCUAAAUUCUUUUGUUCACAUUUUGUGGUUGUAAAAUAUUCAAACUGCCAUUCACGUUAAUUUAAAUUGUAACUACGGCCUGCCAUAUACUUCUUAAAGCUUGCUAUCCCUUUAGAAUUUUUUUUGUGCUUAAGUCAAAUUGUAUAUAGUUUCAUAAGUUAUAAAACAGCUGCAGUCAAAAAGCAUAUAAAUUACUGAAGGAAAAUACUGUUUUGCUUUCCUUUGAUCAAGAAUGACUGUGGUGGGAUUUAUGGGGGUAGCAAGCAUUAGUGUUUAAACCGUGACUGUGACCAGUACUUACUGGUUCUGUUGAAGAAGUUGUUUCUGAAGAUGAUUUCUUUUUCCUUCUCUCUACCUCCUUCUCCGCCUUUUGAAGUCGUUAAGAAAUAAAUGGUAGUGUAACCCUUACAUAUGGAAAUUCAAAUAACUUCAGAGAAGCUAAUUAGAAAUAAGAUUAGGAAAUAGUGAGAGAGGAGAGAAUCAUAGUAACUUAUUUUCUUGACUAAAACUUAUAGUCGUGUGGCUGAUUUACAUUAGUUUGAAGAUGGAUGUGACACUUAUUGUUUGUAAAAUCAAUUACUUCAGUGAAUAAUUGAAUAUCGAAUAUUUAAUUCUGUCUCAAGCAACUUCUCUGUGAUCAAAGUAUGUUUAUAUUCCUUGUAUGUAGUAUUUUAUUUUUGCAAUCAUUAGUCAAUUGCAUAUUUUCAUAUUCUGUUGAUCAUGUGAAAGCAGGUUAAUUUGUUGAAGUGCUCUAGGCAUCCUUUAUUUUCCACAAUCUAGUUACCGUAUCUCUUUACAUAUACUAAAAUGAUAAUUUGAUGUCAUGUCUGUAGGAGUGUUCAACAUAUUACCACAAGUCUUCUCCACGGCGGGGCGGGGGGAGAAAGUUUAAAAUGGAGAAAAAGUAAACUUAAAGCCACUUGGCAGGUAAUUAAAUGUCAGGUAGAGAGAAGAGUGGGAAUGGUAUGUAUUUUUGCCAGUCAAGGACCCUUCAGUGAUCUGCCCUUCUGCAGGGGACUGUAGGCUUGAUGAUUCAGGUGAUUUGCUCCUGUCUCAGCCAAUAAUCACUGAGCUUGACCUGCAGAAAGUCCUUUUGGAAAGAAACAGGCAGGUAGCAGACUGUAGGCAGAUAACCAUUUAAAGAUAUUUUUAGUAAUUGACUCGAUCCAGUGGAGAUCGAAUGUUAAAAUUAAAUGCAGUGUUUGCUGUUGGGCAUUUAAGGAUUUAAUAAUUAAUUUAACAGAAUACUUGUAUUAUUUGAUCCAAUAGGAUCUCUUAGUGUCAAAACUUCCUAAUGGUUCAGUGGCCUAUCUAGGACGGUAUAAAAAUACAUAUAAUAUGUGUCUAAAUUCUGAGUUGCUUAAGAGACUAUAGUUGUUCAAUUCCAAUGUUAUGUAACAUAAUAUUCUGUCUAAAAUUGGGUAAUUAUAUAAUUGCCUAGGGACUUUGAGUACUGGCCUACUUGAGAGCUAUUAAUAUUUCUUAUAUGAAAAAUAAUUUGUUUUAUUAAUGGAAAGCCCUCAGUGCUAUAAAUUUGUGUAUAUGAUUCCAGCUUUUUUUCCUGAUACACGAAACGUUUUUAUUUGAAUAUAUUGAUACUUUUCAGUCUCAUGUCUCGUGCUAUGCCACUAUCUUUUAUUAAAAAACUACGCUUUUCUAAUCUGUGUUAGAUUUUGCGAGGUUGAACAUGUGAUGUAUUUGAACUUGUGAAAUUUGACUGCUUAGGACAAAAGGUUGAAAUGGCACCAAAAGGUUGUUACUGGUUUUAGAAUCACAAAUAUAUGCAGUGCUAAUAAUUUGUAUUGGAUAAGUAAAGGAUGCAGUUUGCAAAAACCUUUCACUGCUGUUCUCAUUUCUGCCAUUGUUUUACAUGAUGGCAGAGUCGAAGGGUGCUGAAUGCUGUUGAAAUUUGCAUUGGAGACUGUGGCACCAUCAGUGUUAGGACCUGUCUGUGUUGUAAUUGUGUCUAGUUUAAUCAAUUAACAUAUUCUUUCUGUGGUCAAAUCCUGCAAACAGGUUUGUAUUUAUGUGUAUGUAAACACAGAUUGCAGGACCACUGACAUGUUUAUUAUGAUAAAAAUAGGCUAUAGUCAUUUACUCUGGUCUGAAAAUUCUUUAGGUAAUUAAAUCUGUUCUUUCAAGUUGGUAUGAAGUGGUAAGGAUAUUGUUUAAGCAGAAUCUGUUUAAUGUAGGCUCAUGUGUUCAUAAAUUGAAAAAUGAGAGAAAGGAGUUGCUGUUUAACAAGUAUUCAUGCAUUUAUUAUUUAGGUUAUGCCUGUUAAAAGGAAAGAUAAAGCAUCUUUAAAAAAAAAAAUUCGAAAGCCUUUCUACUUCCAGAAUAUAUUCAUUCAUAUUGCAAAGAACUUAAUUAUUCACUGGUUGGCAUAAGAAAUUAGUUGUGUAUUCUCUCUUCACUUUUAAGUUUCUAAAGAGGAGCAGGUUGGAUGAUAUGCUUUUUUUUCAAAGCAAACUUUUAAAAUAAUAUUAUUUCAGUGGAAGCCCGGAACAAACUAGACUGACACCUUCUGCUCUGAGAUGAGCGCUAAGUGAUAUCAUCUUCUAAAAAUGCAGCCACAGAAUGUAGGUGGUAAGCAGUAGCUGUUGUUUAAGCCUUUGGUUAGAAAACUUAGAAAUACAGAACUGGAGCAGCUUUGUUGACAUGAUGAAUUUCACAAAUAGUCAUGCUGCCUUAGUGCUUGAUAUGUGGUCAUCUGGAAUAUGUGCAUUUAUUCUAAAUACGUAUCUCAUUGUCUAAAGCUGAAUAGCGUGUCAGAGCUUAAUUUCCAUCAUAGCCUGUAGCUGACAGAACAGUAACCAGAAACCUUAAGAUCCUUUCUCCUUUUUCUUUUUCCAAAUGUGCAUGCUGAAUUAUUUGUCUCUGGCAUGGUCUUGCUCCAGCUGUCUUCAGAAGAUUAUUAACUAGUUAUUUUUGUAAGUGAUAGGCUCCUUGAUGACUUGAUUGACUUUCUAUAGGAAGAAAUUAUGGUAAACAUGAAGAACAGCUUUUUGAAGUGGACUAUGCUUGAUUUUUCAGGAUUUACAGUAUUAAAUUACACUAGUAAAUAAAAUUACAGAUCAAUAACAUUGAAGAAGCAACAAUAUUAGCAUUUUAAUAGCUGCUUAGUGUUGUCAGCAGCAGGUGAUAUAUUUCAAAUAAUAAUGUAUUUUAGUAGAUAACAUUGAAAUUAUUUUUUAGAUCAAGCUGGGUUUUUUUUUGUCCUGAUGAAAGCUUUCAUGUGCCGUAUUAUUGCUUUGUCUGUAGGUAUUAAUGGGCUGCAGUGAAAUGGAAGAGAAUAAUUUCUUAAAGAUUUUUAGUAACGGAGGAAAUGAUACAAGCAAAUCUCUGUGACUUAGAACAAGAUAUCCGAAAGUAUUUUUGCAAUAUUGCUGCUAUUACUUUAAAAGGAGCUAGGGAAAAAAAUACUGAAUAUAGAAAUUGGCUUGUAAUUCAUAAGUUCCAAUGAUAAAUUGUGCUACUGUAAAAUGGUAUUGUGUUGUCCUUUAUUAUUGUGAAGCAUGAGGAAUAUAGAAUUUUUCUAGUCAAAAUUAUGGCAGGAAUUUUAAGGCUUUUUUUGGUGGGGCAAGUCUUGAAGACUUUCUGGUAUGUAGGUCCCAGAGGCCCUACGUUUGUUAGAUACUGCUUGUCUCAGGCUUUUGAUUCUGUAUCAGCCAUACCUCUCUCUUGGCUAUAGUAAGAUGGUGUCUGAAAAUCUGGGUGAUAAGAAGCCAGAUUGCUAGCAUACUGAGGAAAAUGGGGGUAAAUAGAAACUGAUUGUGGGUUUUCUAACAUUUUGCAUUGCUCAGUGUAAAGAUGGAAACUAUGUAAAGGCCUUUAUUAGCUGAGACUGGAUAUCCAGUGAAGUGUCCCUUUCUUCCUGCUUUAUAUUAGCAGGUAAGAGAGUUUAACAUCCUUUCAGCUAGUCUGACCUCCUGUGAAGUAUUCAUGCUAGAGAAAAACAUUGUCUCUUGUAAAAAUGUAUAAAAUGUAAUCUCUCUCUUCAUUUGAUAGUAAUCCCUUUCUUAAAAGUGCACGUCUGUCUUGUGAUUAGAAUUUGGCUUCACCUUCCACUUACAAGAAAAGGGAAGGGGAUUGCUCUGCAAAAGAGGUCAGUAGUACCUUGUUUUUUCUUGCUGGGAAUGCAUUUAAAACUAUAAAACUACUCCCUGUUUUUUGAUGAAAUGCAUGGAUUGAUGUCCUAAAAUCUUGUGUUACGCCUGUCUUCCUUAGUCCCCUCACACAAAUUUGUAAUCUUCUAAGGAGAUAAAGCCCUGUUACGGGUUUUUUCAGUGAUCUAUAUAGAGGUAAAAUCCCCUCUUCUUUCUUUGUGCACUGUGGAUUGUGCUUCCAAGAUACUUGUCACAUUUUGUCACAGUGUUAAGUUGGGAUAUCAUGCUUAUUUCCUUGUCUUUUAUGACCCUGAUACCUUUUUUAGAGUCUGUUGUUUUCUGCUGUUUUACCAGUUUCAAGGUAUAACUUUUUAUUCUUUUCCCAGAUGUACAACCUGAGAUUUGGAUAUUAGAAAAAAAAAAAAAAUUGGAACAAUUUGCUUUGUCAGCUGUUCCAUAACUCUUAUAUUAUGUCCCAGUUGUUUUGUUUACCAUAGUGGUAGCUUUUGUGUUGUCCUCAAAUAUAAUCAGCAAUGAGUUUGUGUAUCUUUGAGGAACAUGUUGAAUAGUGUUAAACCUGGUAAUGGUCCUAGGGUAGCUCUCUACUCAAAUGCAACUCCCCUCUGACAAUGAGUUUUUGAGGUUUGUUACUUAGGUUUUCUUAAUCAAAGAAAUUGUAAUCUUAAAAAAAAAAAAAAGUAAAUUAAAAACCUUCCUGCGCUAUACAUUCCUACCCUACUGGCUUUCCUCUUAUUUUGCUCUUGCCAAUUCAGGCUGCACUGACAAUAAGUAACAGGGUGGUUCUCCUUGUCCACUUCCAACUUUUAACACAGGUGCCCUUCUGGUCUGUUGAGUUUUAGUGUUGUUUCGAUUUACUGAUGCUAAGUGAACAUCAGUAGUAAAUGCCAUUCUUCCAGAAUCCUUGGUGGGGAGUUGUCCAAGCCUUCUGUUUUUAAAAGGUUGUAUUUCAAUUGAUGAUGAUUAAAACUGUGAUCAGCUACAAAUAAA